rnacentral:rRNA from 1 species
UGGGGAAUCUUGGACAAUGGGGGCAACCCUGAUCCAGCCAUGCCGCGUGAGUGAUGAAGGCCUUAGGGUCGUAAAGCUCUUUCGCCUGUGAAGAUAAUGACGGUAGCAGGUAAAGAAACCCCGGCUAACUCCGUGCCAGCAGCCGCGGUAAUACGGAGGGGGAUUAGCGUUGUUCGGAAUUACUGGGCGUAAAGCGCACGUAGGCGGACCAGAAAGUUGGGGGUGAAAUCCCGGGGGCUCAACCCCGGGAACUGCCUCCAAAACUAUUGGUCUAGAGUUCGAGAGAGGUGAGUGGAAUUCCAAGUGUAGAGGUGAAAUUCGUAGAUAUUUGGAGGAACACCAGUGGCGAAGGCGGCUCACUGGCUCGAUACUGACGCUGAGGUGCGAAAGUGUGGGGAGCAAACAGGAUUAGAUACCCUGGUAGUCCACACCGUAAAACGAUGAAUGCCAGUCGUCGGGUAGCAUGCUAUUCGGUGACACACCUAACGGAUUAAGCA